rnacentral:rRNA from 1 species
UACGUAGGGGGCUAGCGUUGUCCUGAUUUAUUGGGCGUAAAGAGCGUGUAGGCGGUUUGGUAGGUCCGCUGUGAAAACUCGAGGCUCAACCUCGAGACGCCGGUGGAAACCAUCAGACUAGAGUCCGGAAGAGGAGAGUGGAAUUCCUGGUGUAGCGGUGAAAUGCGCAGAUAUCAGGAAGAACACCCGUGGCUAAGGCGGCUCUCUAGUACGGUACUGACGCUGAGACGCGAAAGCGUGGGGAGCGAACAGG